CCUACGGGUGGCUGCAGUGAGGAAUAUUGGUCAAUGGGCGGAAGCCUGAACCAGCCAAGUCGCGUGAGGGAUUAAGGCCCUAUGGGUCGUAAACCUCUUUUGUCAGGGAGCAAUGGCGUCCACGUGUGGGCGUAUGGAGAGUACCUGAAGAAAAAGCAUCGGCUAACUCCGUGCCAGCAGCCGCGGUAAUACGGAGGAUGCGAGCGUUAUCCGGAUUUAUUGGGUUUAAAGGGUGCGUAGGCGGGACCUUAAGUCAGCGGUAAAAUUGCGGUGCUCAACGCCGUAGAGCCGUUGAAACUGGGGUUCUUGAGUGAGCGAGAAGUAUGCGGAAUGCGUGGUGUAGCGGUGAAAUGCUUAGAUAUGACGAAGAACCCCGAUUGCGAAGGCAGCUUGCUGCAGCGGAACUGACGCUGAUGCUCGAAAGCGCGGGUAUCGAACAGGAUUAGAUACCCUUGUAGUC
rnacentral:rRNA from 1 species